rnacentral:rRNA from 1 species
AUUGAACGCUGGCGGCAGGCCUAACACAUGCAAGUCGAACGAGUGGCGGACGGGUGAGUAAUGUCUGGGAAACUGCCUGAUGGAGGGGGAUAACUACUGGAAACGGUAGCUAAUCCCGCAUACCAUCGGAUGUGCCCCGAUGUGAUUAGCUAGUAGGUGGGGUAAAGGCUCACCUAGGCGACGAUCCCUAGCUGGUCUGAGAGGAUGACCAGCCACAAUGGAAAGGAGACACUGGCCAGACGCCUACGGGAGGCAGCAGUGGGGAAUAGUGCACAAUGGGGGCAAGCCUUAUGCAGGCAUGCCGCGUGUAUGAAGAAGGCCUUCGGGUUGUAAAGUACUUGUAGCGGGGAGGCGUUACCCGCAGAAGAAGCACCGGCUAACUCCGUGCCAGCAGCCGCGGUAAUUC